CUGGAGCGUGCUCUACUUGUGCUGGAAAGGUUGUUUCUGGCUCAGUGGAUCAAUCUGAUGGCUCAUUCUUGGAUGAUACUCAACUUAAGGAAGGCUUUGUGCUUACCUGUGUUUCCUAUCCCACAGCAGACUGUGUUAUCCAAACUCAUAAGGAAGGUGAACUCUACUGAGAAAUUGUGGCUUGAAAGUUAAAACCAUUGCUCGAGGAAACUGAGAAUUUAAGGUAGAUUUUAUGGCGGAUUUUGCUUUAGAAUCUAUCUUUCUUUUAGCAUUAUUAAUAGUGAUAUGGGUUUUAGAAGAUGGUAAGUUUGACAUUUAAAUGUGAUCAAGGGUGUUAUUUUAGUUAUGAAGAACAUGAUGAAGUAUUUGGAGGAAGAAACAACCUUUCAUAAUUGGUAGAGAAAUUUCACUUUCUUUUUAAAAUAAACAAAAUCUAUCUUGUUAUAUCAAUUGUCAAUAGCUGCUAUUUUAACUUACCUAAACAUAUUUCAUUAAUUGAAAGAUGUGGCAAUUUUCAACUAGGGAAUAAGUUGUUAUAGUUUAUUUUUUCAGUUGGUUUAAAUUAAGUUAAAUAUAUAAAAUAUAACCUGCAUAACUCAAUUUAAAUAGUAACUAUUUUUUUGAUACGUAUAACAGUGAGAAAGCUAGCAAAUUUGAAGAUUUGAUAUUAUUGUCCUUUGCAAUGUUUACCUAUGUAUGUUUCAAAAUUCAAAGAACAAUAUAUUAGUUUGAUUUUUAAAAUCAUUUUGACAAAACUUCGAUUUUAAAUAGAUUUUGAUUUUAAUCAAAAUUAUUUAAUUUAAUUUAAAUUUUAUUUUUUUUAAAUUAAUAUUAAUUUUUAAAAUUUAAAACCAUAAAUAAAUUUUAUGAGAUUUUAAAAUAUUAUUUCUUUUAAAAUUUAAAAAAACAUAAAAGAAACAAAUUCUUUAGAAAAAAAAUUGAAAUAAUAAAAUUAUUUUCUGAAAAUGAAAAAAAAAAAUUGAAAACAAAAAAAAUCUUUAAAAAAAGUUAUUCCAAAAAAUAAAAAUAACUGAAAAAAAUUUAUUUAAAGAAAAAUGGAAAUUGGAAAUAAAAAAAUUAUAAAAAUACAAAAUAUUUUUUAUUCUGAAAUUAUAAAAAAUUAUUAUUUAAAUUUUUUUUUUGAAAUUAAAUUUUUUUUUAUUCUGAAAAUUUGAAAAAUUAAUUUACUGAAAAAAAUAUAAAAUAUUUUUUAUUUAGAAGAAAAUAAUAAUUUUAUUUGAAAAAAAUAUUAAAUUAAAAAAAUUCUGAAUAUAAUAUUUUUUGUAAAAAAAUAUUUUUAAAAUAAUUUUUUUAUGAAAUUUAAAAAUAUUUAAAAUAUAAAAUUAAUUUUAAUGUGAUAAAAAUGGAAAGAGACAAAAAUAAAAAUUUUAGUAAAAUUUAGAUAUCCAAUAACAAAACCUAAUUUUUAUAAUGGAUAACAGUUUAUAUUUGAAUAACAAAAUGAAUAUUCAAAUUUUUAUUUUAAUAUUUGGUUUGAUUUUUUAAAAAUAGAAUAAUUUAAUACUAAUUUAAUUAUGAAUAAACCGUUUUUUUUCACAUCCCUAUAUAUCAUAGUCAUUUUUCUUGCUAACUAAAUAUUUAUUUUCACAGCUUAUAAAAUAUUUUGCCAUGUCAGCAUCUGUAAUAAAUUAUACGAAUUAAAAAAAAGGAUAAAAAUAAUGCUUUCCAACCACAAAUCAAAUUUAAGAAUCUAUUACUAGUAAAAUAAGUGUUAACAUCUUAUACCGUCCACUUGAAAUAAUUGAUUUAUAAUUAGUUUUAUAAAAAUUAAAUAUUUAAACACUAAUAUAUUUUACUCCAAAAAGUAUAAUAACAUAUAUAACAAAUUAUUUAUACAAUAGCAACUAAGUUUUAUUCCACUAAUAUGGUCUUAUCUUCUGGACUAUAGUUUUUUUUAAGUGUUUCUCUAUAUCUAAGUGUUUGAUUCAUUUUCAUUUAACAUAUCUUCUUUAGAAAAUUGCGUAAGACAUCAUAAAGAUUGUUACUAUACUUUCGUAAAAAAAUAAAAAUAUUUUUAAGAUUCAGAGAUGUAUUGUUAGACUAAUCCCAAAUAUAUUUGGUUCUCAGUCUGAUCUUAAGACUAUGUAAAAAAAAUUACGGAAAUUAAUCUUCCUAUAAAUUAUGGAGAUGCUUCUCUUGACACUAUUUUAAUAAAAAAUACGUCAGAUUCUUUCUCAUUCCUCGCUUUUUAAAAUACUCUCUCAACUCCUAUUCUCUCAUAGUCAUUCAACUCACUUUAAAUUUUCUUUCAUCAACAUCAAAUCGAUCAAAGAGUUUACUCAACAUCAAACUAAACUCACAAUUGAUAAGUUUAUGAUUUUUUUUUUUAAUUUCUAUAUACAUUUGUAGGAAUUGAGCAUUAAGUUAUGUAAUAUGUAAUUUAGAUAUGUUAGUGAAAUGAAUAAUGUGUUUAAUAGAUAGUUUAAAUGAUCAAUGCAUUAUUUUGGAUGUUGGUAUAAACUGCAUUUCCGCCAUUAACAUGCUUUUGAGUUGUAGUACCUUAUGGAGAUGCAUCUCUAGAUUUUUUCAAUGUUUUGAUUUCUAGAAUCUAGAGAUGUAUCUCCGGAACUUUUUCAGUUUGCUUUGUUUGGCUUGAUCUCAUUGUGUUUCAUAUGUAUAAUGCUUGUGUGAUUUACUUACAGACAAUAUGGUUGAUAACCUAGAUAGAUUGAGGCAUAACAGAGUUGCACAUCAUGCAUAGAGGGAAAAAGCUCGCUCAUCGCAUGCACCUGUUGUUUUUAGCCCGAUUGAUGCGAGAGCGUCAACUUUUGAGGCUCAUGCAUUUCCACCUUACAUGUGUCACCUACUCAGACACCUGAGGCACUGGAGGCACCUAAGGCUCCGCAGGCACCUGAGGCACACGAGGGAUUUGGAGGAGGUCCUUCAGACUUAUUACUCCUGCGUCUAUACCCGAACCAUGAUGCCAGACAUGUCUAGGACGGAAAGGUAAAAUUAAGUUGUAUUCCUUCUUUGAAAUAUCAUUUUUAUAAUAUUCGAAGUUUUCGACGAUGAGUUAUUUUCCUGCAGGACCAUGAUGCCUUAAAAUUUAUCAACCAUGGUCAAAAGAUUACGGGUCAACAACAACCUAAUGAGCAUUGGUCUAAGGAUGUGAUGCAACUAUCUGGGCUGAGAGACUUAUGCAAUAUCGAUUAUGUUACAGUUAACCAUGGUAUGCUAUCAACAUUUGUAGAGAGCACUCGAAGACGACAUCAUUUCAUUUUUCACACAGUGAGAUGUUUAUCACACUAGACGAUGUCUCGUGCCUGCUGCAUCUUUCGAUCAUGGGGAGACUGUUAGAUUACAACAAAAUUAACAUAGAUGACACAAUGGAGACGAUUGUAGACUAGCUUGGAGCUGACCCAGAGAAUGCCAUGCCAUACAUCGAAAAAUCCAUGAGCGCAUCGCACGCUCGAAGAUACAACAGAGUCGCCACCGAACUAUAUUUAUUCUAAAAGGAAAGAGAAAAUAUCGAUAAAAUCCAAGGGAAAGAGAAAUGGGUAAGGAAGUCGGUUAUGCAAGGGGAGGGUAUUAACAUCCCUCACAUUUGUUGUACUUAACGAGAACCAUUUUUAUUGUUCUUUGCUUGAAUGUGUGUUACUAUCUAAAGGUUACUUGCAAAUGAUAAAAGGGAAAAAAUAAGUUUAUAGUUAGUGUGCUCACCAAGGAUUCAAACCCUCGGGCCUACGUAUUCUCACAAUGCAAUGAGAAAAUCAGAGCUCCGUAGUUCGUGGUAGAAAAUAUAGAUUUGUUGGUUGAUUUUAGGGAACAAUUAUAAUCAUAUUCUAGAAGUGUAUAGACGUUAGCUGAUUAUGAUCCUUGUUCGGAUGCUCUAAACUUUUAGUCUGACUGCUAAUGAACAUAUUAUAACAGUUCUUUUGUGAAAAGAAAGAAAAUUGUUUUGAAAAAACGUUUGUGUGAUAAAAGAAAAAGAAAGAGUUGCUUGAAUAUAAUUAAAAGAAAAGUUGCUUGAACUGUAAAAUAAUUUGAAGUGUAAGAAGAGGAGUAGGAAAUGUAGAAAUGGGUGUGAAAUGUGUUGUGAAAUGACAAAGAAGUUGUUUGUGUAUGGUGACAGUAUUGUUUGAACCAAAAUUAUGUUGUUUGGACCCAUAAGAUAGGUGUGUCUGAGCCAAGGAGUGUGUAAACUAAGGAUGGGGUAUUUUAACCGAUAAACGGUGAUUAACCAUGCAUGAGGGUGUGUUAACCAAGGAGUGGUGAUUAACCCAUGAAUGAAAAUAUGUGGUAUUUUAACCAAUAGACGGUGAUUAACCAAUGCAGGAGUUAUAGGGUUUGUUAAUCGAGAAGUGGUGAUCAACCCAAAGAAUGAGAAUGUGGUAUUUUAACUGAUAUCCGGUGAUUAACCAAUGCGGAAAGUUGCCUGAGCAUGGAGGUAAUAUGGCAAUGCAUGAAAAAAUAACUUCAUCUUCUUCACUUCCAUGUUUGUCUUAUUCUUCUAAGCUUCCAUUGCUUUGCUCCACCACCGGAGGCGGAAGAGUUUUCCGGAACAGUCAAGUUGCAACAUAAAAAAUGCUCAUAUCCAUCUCCUCUUUAUAUAUAUCUCAUCAAUUCAAUUCACCACUCAACCAAUUUUCAGAAUUGCAUCAAGAAAGUGAUGAACCCUAACCUCUAAAACAAAAAUUAAAUGAUAGAGGGGAAGAAUCAAGCCGCCAAACCUUGGGGCUUUGUUUCUUCAAUGCAAGAGCUACAUUAUGGUAUCAAGAUUCAAGCAAACUGAGGCAAAAGAAAAUUCACCGACAUGCAAGACAUAGGUUUGUCUUGGAAAUUGUUGAAAUCUGAAGGUGCUGAAGAUGAAGAAAACCAGAGGUAUGCUACUUUGAACCUUUAAUCUUUUGCUUCUGCAAUGAACUUAUUCCUCUUCAAGAAUUAAUUACGUAAAAUUAUGAACUAGAUUAUUGCUGCUAUUGUUGAUUGUAUGAGUAUGAGAGUAGUAUGGAGUGUAGAAGGUUUAGCUCAAAUGGUGACAAACUUCAAUGUGAAGCUUGCUCCAAUGGUGGUAGAGCUUUGGUGAGGCGAGGGAGAUAAAUUGAGAGAGACAAUUCUGAAUUUAUAGUGGAAUGUUUAGAGAAUGAAUGAUUAUGGUGGUUGUUAUUAUCGUUGUUAUUGGUUGAAGAGUGUGGUGAGUUUAUAUAGAUGAAUUUCCCAACUGUUUCGGGCAUCUCUGUUAGAGGUUAGGGCAACAGUUAGUGUUAAUGGAUUCCAAGAGUAAGUUGGUUAUGAAAUUAACAGAGUUAGAGUUUCUGUUAGAUUGAAUUUGACAAUUGGAAUGGUCAAUGAAGUGGCAUUUAGGAACUGUUAUGACAUGUUGGUGAGGUUAGGAUUGAAGUGAAUUAGUGUAGUUCAAGUGUUGGUGAAUGUUUGUGAUGUUGUUGUAAUGCUUAGUUCAAAGAUAGGAAACUGCUAGUGUUGUUGCAUCAUGUUCAUGUGUUGUUAUGUGAACAUGUUAUAGGAAUUGGACUUGUUUUUUAGGGUUUAAAAUGGGACUGUGAUGCUGAAAUUAAGCUGAAAAUUGAAAAAUUAGCAGGUGUAACCGGUUACCGGGUUUUGUGUAAUCGGUUACUAGAAUGAAAAAAGGUGUUCUGGGUUGCUGAAUAAGUUGAUGAAACACAUGUGUAACCGGUUACCAGGUUUUGUGUAACCGGUUACCAUAAUGCAAACAUGCCUCUGGGUGUUGGAGAAAUACAUGUAGCCGGUUACUAAAAUGAAAACUUGGCUUUCUGGUGAGCUGAAGUAGGUGUAACUGAUUACCAGGUUAUCAACUCAAAAAUUGGCCCUUUUUAGUGUUUUGGUGCAUUGACUCAUGUGUGAAGCAUAAGGUUUUGGCCUUUUUCUCAAUGUACAUGUGAUUUUGCAGGGUUGGUGUUAUAUGUUUGUCGUGAAGCAUUAUCUAUGAAGGUUCAGCAAGAGGUGUGGAUUUGACAAGAAGAUAGACCAGGGCUUAGGAUAGGUUGACCUUGGUAAACUAUUUGACCAAAAAGUCAACAGUUGACCAAAGGUCAACUGUAAGUCAAAAAGAUGAAAUUUUGUAUGCAAAUUUGUAAUUUGGAUCCUUUGUAAUGAAAUAGAUUUUGAAAUGAAAGGUGUAUGUAAAUUUUGUUUCAAGAAAGCAAGGUUCCCUUCCAAAUUUACAUCUCUGAAUAUUUGAAUUUGCCUUGAAUAUGACUUUGAAUGAACCUAGAAUUUGAAUUUCUUGAUCACUUGAAUGAAGUGAUAUGCCAUGGAUCAAACAAAUCAAAGCCCAAGAUAAUCAUUAUCUUCCAUAUACUAUGCCAUGAUGUAAUCAACACAACCACAAGCAUAUACCGAAGAUUAAAGUUCCACAAACUUGAUUUACAAGAAAUGAAUCAACCAUCAUUGUUGUGCCAACAUCACUUUUGUAUCAUAAUUAUCAAAACUCUUGAAUCAAUGAUGUUUAUAUGAAGAAUGAAUGCAUAUGGCAUGGGCAUGCAAAUGAACUGAGGAAAGAAAUGAAUCAACCAUCAUUGUUGUGCCAACAUCACUUUUGUAUCAUAAUUAUCAAAACUCUUGAAUCAAUGAUGUUUAUAUGAAGAAUGAAUGCAUAUGGCAUGGGCAUGCAAAUGAACUGAGGGUUAAAAGUCAGAUGAAAAAUGAAAAAGGGAGGACAAAUUUUGGGGUAUGAUAGUUGCCCAUAUUUAAUCUUCUUUGACCUGUAUGUACGAAUGGUGAUGACCGUUCGGGAACUUAAGGUAGAAGAGGAUUAAGGGCUCAUUUGUUUUGGCUUUUUUUAAAUGAUUUUUAUAGUGUUACAUAUUUUAGUGUAAAAAAAAUUUACAAAGAAACUUUUCAUAAAAGUUUCAAAUUAAAAUUUGGUUUGAAUAGUUAUUCUUAAAAUAUUAUUUUAGAUAUUUUAUCAUUUUAUCGAAACUUUUUUUGGAUAUCAAAUUUUCAAAAAAUCACUUAAUUUUGAAGCUAUUUCAAUUAGCUUUUCAUAAAAAUCAUUUUUAAGAUACACUUUUUUGAAAAAAAUUUGUGAUUUCGACUAUGUUUUGAUAUUCAAUAAUAUAUAUUUAUGUUAUAGAAUGAACAAUUCAAUCUUUUAAUUUAUAAAAAACAAAUUUAAAAAACUUAUAAUAUUUUAAAAGACAUUUUUGUAGAAUCCAUUUUCAAAAAUACAAAGAAAAAAUCCAUUUUUUUAAAGUUAAAACAAAUUGGCCCUAAAUACAAGAAUAUCCAAAAAUUUGUCUGUGAGGAUGGAGUGAAUGAGGUGUGAGGAAGGGAAGUGUAUUGGGUAUUUGUUUAUGACAGGUAAACUUUUGUGAUGUCAUCUGAUGGGGAUUGAAUGAAAUAUUAUGUUGGGGAAAUAACUUAGUCGCAAGGGAAAUGUUUGAUAUGCAUGAUAUAUGUGUAAUACCCCAAAAUUUACCCUUCAUUCUUCUUGGAAGCAUGAGAUUGUGUUUCACAUUGCAUUAGCAUCAUACUAGGUCAUACUCAUUGCAUAUUGCAUUAGUGACUUGGGAAAUCAGGGUUUUAUUGAUCACUCCUCAACAGAAGGAGCCUACACAGAGCAAGACUGAGAAUUUAACUUCAUUCUCCAAUUAUACAAGUCUCAAAGAGUUCCAUAUGUCUUAUUAUGUUCCUCAGUUCAUCAGUGGGAGAUUCAGAACUCUCAGAGUGUGCAUAUGGAGUUAAUCAGAAAUCAGGGUUUCAAGUUGUGGCGGAAAUUGGGUUGGAGAGAAGCGUAAUCGAAGAUUUCUUUGGCGAGAAGAGGGUCUGAUUGGGAAGCAAUGAGUUUCUGGACUCUGGUUGGAGAACCGAUUGGAGAAGAAGAAGAAGAAUGGAAUUGGUGUUGCAGUGAAGAAGAAGAUGAUGAGAAUACGCCAUUUGAAGCAAUGGUUCUUAGAUUUUUUGAUAACACUGUAAACGAUCGGUGCAUCGUUUUUUCAGAUAACUGACAACAGAGUGAAUGAGUGAAUGAGUGAAGCAAUGGUUUGGCGGCGAGUAGCGAAUCUGUGGGUGGGUGGGUUAAACAUAUUCCUUCGUUCCAACAACAAACAACUAUACUAUUUAUUUAUUUAUUUAUUUAUUUAUUUAUUACGCCCAAUAAAAUAAUAAUAAUAAAAAUAAAUAAAUAGAACCUAAAACCCAUCACUCUCUCUCACUUCGUUUUUUCCGCUUCCAUCUCUAACCAACGCAACCACCACCGUCUUCUCCUCUGUAAGCUCUUCCAUUCUUCAUCACUUUUUCUUUAAUAUAGAUUUUACUAUUAUUAAUAUACUCUGCAAUUUAUCUCAACUAGUUAUGCUAUUACUAUACCCUUCAUCAAAUCAAACCUUCAUCAGGGUUUAUCUUUCUUCAUAAAUCUCAUCAUUUUCUACCAAAAACUAUCUUCAGUUAUUCAUUAUAUCCUUUAGGAAUCUAGGUGUUGUUAAUUAUUCUUGAAACAAACCAAGAAAUCUCUAUUUGAUGGGGUUUUGGGGUUUGAUUUGACAGCUCUAGGGUUUUGUCAUUUUGUGCUUAUGAUUUUGUUUUUUUUGUUAUUGUGCUUGGCUGGGAUUUUGAUCUCGUUGGAGAUUUUCCUGCAAAGACACAAUCUUUCAUUGUUUUGUUGAUUGGGCACAAAUCAUAUUUUGAAGGUGUUCCGGUGAGGUGAGUAUCCGGUGGUCCGUGUAUGACAUGUGUCGAUGUCAAUAUGUGUGGUUACUUCCGUUACUUUCAUUUUUAAAAAAAUUCUUAUUGGUGCUUUGUGUUUCAAUCGGUGUUUCGUAGGGGGAAAUUGAGUGGUGUUUUAGAGUAUGUCUUUAGGACUGGUUAUGAAAGAAUUUUUGUUUUAUGAACAGCAAUUGAUCGUUAGAAUAUUGACUUCGAGCAUAAAAUGAGGUCAUUUUGUUAGGUAUGAUGUUUUGAUUGUAAACUUGGAGCUUCGAGUGAAGAGCAGAGAGUUACAAUCUUGCUUCUUCUCAUACAGCUCCAUAAAACAAUAGCCGUUUAUCAAACAGGAAUGAAACCAAUUUCAUUCUUUUUGUAAAUUUUUAUGGCAUAAAUUCGUUUGACAUUAUCAACAACAUUGGUAUUAAAUCAGUUUACGCAGAUGAUAGUUGAAGGUUUUCGCUAGUAUUUUUUUCUUCACCAAAGUUUGAACUCUGGUCCUUUAAUCCUUUGCUCAAACCAGUUAAACUACCCAACCUAUGAAAUAAGCAAAGAUAAGUGUUAGAAACUAAGACCUGGCAAGCUAAACAAUAAAUGCUUGGACGCAAAGAUAAGCGUUAGAAUUUAAGGCCUGGCAAGCGAAACAAUAAAAGCUUAGACUUAACUGCUACUGUGGGAAUGGCCACGUUCUGCUUUUUUUCUUUCUUUCUUUCUUCCUUCAGAAUUGGUAAUCUAAGGGUGUAAAUCUAUUAACACUUCUCGCACUCUUCAAUAAUUGUGUCUUGUAUAAUAAAAUAAACCACUUUAUUUUGUUAAAUAUAAAUUCUAUUAUAUUGAUUUAUUUUCAGGGCAACAAUGGCAUCCAUCUCAGCUGUGAAUAUUUCCCCACUAUGCAUGUUUCAACCCGCAAACCGCAUUCAAUCAACCAGCACUACCUUAGUGAAGUGCCCUUCCGCUUUUGGCUCUAUGAGAAGUGUUUCCAGAUCUUUUGGCUUGAAGUCAUCCUCUUCAUAUAGAACAACUGCCAUGGCUGCUUACAAGAUUAAGCUAAUUAGACCAGAUGGAGAAGAGGACGAGUUUGAAGCCGCUGAUGAUGUCUACAUCUUAGAUGCAGCAGAGAAUGCCGGAGUCGAACUCCCUUACUCGUGCCGUGCUGGAGCAUGCUCUACUUGUGCUGGAAAGGUUGUUUCUGGCUCAGUGGAUCAAUCUGAUGGCUCAUUCUUGGAUGAUACUCAACUUAAGGAAGGCUUUGUGCUUACCUGUGUUUCCUAUCCCACAGCAGACUGUGUUAUCCAAACUCAUAAGGAAGGUGAUCUCUACUGAGAAAUUGUGGCUUGAAAGUUAAAACCAUUGCUCGAGGAAACUGAGAAUUUAAGGUAGAUUUUAUGGCGGAUUUUGCUUUAGAAUCUAUCUUUCUUUUAGCAUUAUUAAUAGUGAUAUGGGAUAAUGGAUAUUUGAUUGUGUGCAAGCACUAGUUUUUAGAAGAUGGUAAGUUUGACAUUUAAAUGUGAUCAAGGGUGUUAUUUUAGUUAUGAAGAACAUAAUGAAGUAUUUGGAGGAAGAAACAACCUUUCAUAAUUGGUAGAGAAAUUUCACUUUCUUGUUAAAAUAAACAAAAUCUAUCUUGUUAUAUCAAUUGUCAAUAGCUGCUAUUUUAACUUACCUCAACUUAUUUCAUUAAUUGAAAGAUGUGGCAAUUUUCAACUAGGGAA
rnacentral:lncRNA from 1 species